CUUCCCUGCAGCUCUCCCAGCUCUGAUUCGAUGGCCGAUUCGUCUCUUUUGUUCUUUAACUGGUCUGUCAGCUCUUUGGGGGUGGAUAAGUCGGCUUGUGGGAACCCUCCGAGUAAUCCAGACCUUGUUUAGGUGGCUGUCUCGGAUUUGGCGCUUUUUAGCCACAUUUUCCUCAAGGUUCAAGUGGAUCGCUGCUGUCAUCAAAGCCAUCAACAG